rnacentral:lncRNA from 1 species
UAUAUAUAUAUAUAUGUAUGUAUGUAUGUAUGUGUAUGUAUGUAUGUAUAUAUGUAUGUAUAUAUAUGUAUAUCUAUAAAAUUAGGCUACUAUACUAUGUAGAGUAUCGGAGCUCCGGUACUAUAGCCUUGUUUUCGAUCUUAGGGUAUUCAAAUUAACGAUCCGCACCGUUAAAUAUGAUCUAGGGUAUAUAAAGUUCUUAUGAAUAAAAUUUUAUUUUUUUUCGACAUUGUUUAUUUAGUAAAUAAAUUAUAUCAAAAUAGACGGUGAUAAUUAAAUAAUCUUUAAAAUUUGAGUAUAGGACUUUUAAAUUCAAGAUCAAGAAUGUUAACCUUUUGAAGAAAUUUAGAUUCUUGUACACCGUUAAUUUCUAAACUUGUCAUAGUAGUCAUUGAAAAUUGACAAUUUUGAAAUGGUUUGAUCAUAAAGUAAACUAUGUCGAAAAAAUAUAAAAUUUUAUUUCUAAAAACUUUAAAUAUCCUAGAUCAGUUUUAAUGGUGUGGAUCGUUGAUUUGAACACCCGAAGAUCGAAAACGAGAUUAUAGUACCGGAGCCCCGAUACUAUAAAUAGUAUAGGAGACUAGCUCUAUAUAUAUAUACUUGGUGCUACCAAAUUUUUCCGUCGUUAGAUUUACCUUUUUGAUCAUUUUCACCCGUUAGAUCAUACUAUUCAACCAACCAUCCACUCAACCCUAGAGGGCCCAUAUCAUCUUAACCGCAUAUCUUUUAAUUCAAUGGCGUUAAAUUGUUUACAAGAUCACUCCAAAAAAAAAAAAUU